rnacentral:misc_RNA from 1 species
UACGUACUGGGCGAACGUUAUUCGGAAUCACUGGGCUUAAAGGGUGCGUAGGCGGCUUUCCAGGUCUGGUGUGAAAUCUUACGGCUCAACCGUAAAAUUGCGCUGGAAACCGGAAAGCUUGAGUGUGCUAGGGGUGUGUGGAACUUCCAGUGGAGCGGUGAAAUGUGUUGAUAUUGGAAGGAACGCCGGUGGCGAAAGCGACACACUGGGGCAUAACUGACGCUGAGGCACGAAAGCUAGGGUAGCGAACGGG